rnacentral:tRNA from 1 species
GUGAGCGUAGUGCAAUGGUAAUAUAUCUCCUUGCCAAGGAGAAGAUACGGGUUUGAUUCCCACCGCUCGCC